UCUGUAUUUGGGUUUGCACUCAUGAAACACCUGCAGACAAACCUUUCAGGUGUAGGAAGCACUGACUUCUUCAUUACGUUCAGCUGGGUUGUGGGCAAUGAGCAGGAGGUGUGUCAUGAGGUUUUCCAAGCAGCUUACUCAAACUGGAAAGCAGAAGAGAUGAACUUGGAUGUUUUGUCAGACGACUCUUCUCAAGGACAUGGAGUGGGAUCCUCACAACGUGAUUUCACCACGGGAGAGUGGGUGCUAAUACUCCUCUUUGCCAGUAAGGCCUUCUUAGACUUCCAAAAUGUUCUAAAGGUCUCACAGAACACAAUCUCUACACAAAAUCAGGAACAUCCCGGCGCUGGAAAUCAUUUGUGUUGCAUCGCUGACCUCCAGCAGUUGCUCUGAAAAACUUUCCAUCCAAAGCAGAGGUAAAUGUGUCUCUAAUACCCUCUUCAAAGUGAGUUUGUUGGGAGUUUGUGAAUCAAAAAAGAGCAAGCAGCAUGGAAUUCCUGUUUGGCAUCUGAGGCGGCUUAUAAGUGGAAGAAGCAAGUUCAUUUUUAGUUACAGGUGGGUGGUUGCUUUUCCCCCUCGUGCCAGCGACUUAGCACUACAGCUCCCUGGUGCUGCAAAAUACCAACCAGCACAACCUUCCCUGCUCUCCAGACGUGCCUCCACUAGAUGACAGUGUUGUACAAAGCUAGACUGAGAAGGCUCGUGCCCAGUCCUGCAGCCCUGGGUGCUUCGCUCAUGAUACUGGGAGCACAAACAGGUCUGUCUCCUGUAUGAAAUAGGUGCUUGGUGGAUCGGCUGUCUAACUGCACAGGGAGAUGCUGUGAAUGAGAAGACACCGAGAAGUGCUGUGAAUGUGUCAGCUGGUUGUUCUGGGAUUACAAACAGGAUUCAGGAUUCCCACAUGUCAAUGGAAAUGUCUACAUGGGGAGGACGGAGUUUCAACUUUGCUGUGAUACCUGUAGCAGCAGUUCCGAGUGUACAGCUUGGAACAGCAGACUUCUCUGAUUUCCCCCCAUAUAUAUAUAUCUAUGCUAUAGAUAUAUAUAUACACACACAUAAUUAUCAUUGCUUACAGGUAGCUCAAAGACUGGAAUGAAGUCUGUUGUUUUGAAAACACAGAAGUUUUCCUCCUGGGAGCAUGAAUUAGAAUAUUAAGCGGAUGUGGCACCCCAGGUAUUAGGGAGGAGUAUUGCCCAUGUUCUCACGUGGGGAAUGGGAUCCAGUGGCCAAGACUGGAAUAUUGGCUGCUAGUCCAGUGAGGAGAAAAACAGAUUAGAAUUUAUUUUGCAUUUUUUUUUCCCCCAGUUAUGUCAAUUCCCUUUUCCUUUGACAUGCUGUUUCUCUCGUUUCUGGACAGAUAGUGGAGAUUUCAUAUAGCAGCGAACAAAACAAAUCAAGUUGAUUGGGAGCUUCUACCUUCUGUCUCAGGGCUUAAGAACAAACAUACGGAUAAUUUUCUGAAAGUCAACAAGUUUGUAGUGGAUAAAAGAAAAUACUUUCAGCCCCCCUAAAACAAAGGUCUUAAUUACAUGUAUACUGUGUGGAAAAUGUUGCAGAGGAUAUUCCGUGUUGCCAGGCUUGUUUCAAGACAUUUGGGAUAAAUUACUCUAUAAAAGAAAAUUUUACAGCUGCUUUACGUUUUGUUUAAGCUUUUAAGAGUAAAGACUUUGUAAAAGCUGUCUUCCUGGAGCAUACAUGUGUGGAAUGAUGUGAUUCUGUCUGACCCAAGUAUUUUCUUCCCACCUCAUGCCUGUUCUGUUGUUUGUAUAUUUGGAAGCUUAAGUACAGAGAGCCUGGAUGACAACACAAACAUAAAUGCUUUGGCUGUGGUAUGGGAAAUGGCACCUGGUCCAUUGAUUGUCUGUGGCUUUGCAGAGUGCAGCUGAAGCAUAUAUCAGGGUGAUGCUGCUGCAGUCUGCAGUAACAGGUGCAGUGUAUGGUUUGUGUGCCUUGGAAAGGGACCCUUCCACCUGCACUGUCACAUUUCCCUCCUCUUUAAGUCUUUUCCCAUGUUCCCUAUGGGCAGUUGGAUGGUGGUUCAAUGCAGUUUCCUGAUGUGUUGAUCAACACAAAGCCCAGAAAACACUUGUGGUAUUCCUGUGCCAUUCUCUGUGGCACAGCCAUUCCCACUGCUUUUUAUGGGGUUUCCUCCUGUGCUCCAUCCUGGCCCUGUAAGGAUGUCCCCUCCUCCUGAUGUACCUCUUCUGUCCUACCCCAUGGCUGUAGCUUCACAGGGAAAAAACACAUUCUGUCCUGUACCACCCAGAUUGCUUGGAAGACCUAUACUUACCUCACACUUUUUAUUUUUUUUUAUGUUGCUAAAUAAAGCCCUCAGUACUUACCAAGAAUAAGUAGAAUUUAAUGGCAGGAUUAGUACUGCAAUGUUUAUAAAGGUCAAGAUAAGGAAGAGGUCCACAGCAGCACCCUCCCAACUUCAGGAGAACAAAAUCACAGCAGAGAAGGUGCUAAAGCAGAACUGAGGCUUGGUUAGCCCUGAAAUUCAAGGACAUCUGGAUCCAGAUAAAAAGCUGUGGUCAGCUUUCUUCUCUAAUAUGAACUGAAUUCAAACACCCUUGGACUUUGUGUUGAGCCAGUUCUGGAACCCAUCCCCCUCUCUAAUCUCUAUUGAUCUAUGCCCCUUUUUGUGUGUAGCUAAAUUAAGAGAAUUUGGCGUUCUAACAAAGUGGCUAAGCCAAACACUCAAAACUUGAGAAAUGCAAGAAUUUAAGUUGUUGCUGCAAAUUCAUUAUAGCCUUUGGGUGUAUGCAUUAUGGCAUUGUCUUUAAUCGCAGGCUCACAUACUAUAAAUGUAUGCUCUGUUUAAAGUG